GACGCAGGCGCACUGCACCGCGCCGCCGCCAUUUUGUGUCCGAGCCUGUGGAGCGAUUAAACCGUGCGCGGAGCUGCUUCUUUGGCGGCAGCGGCGGCGGCGGAAGCCGGUGCGGGUGCGCGGAGCUGGCUGGGGACGCCGGGUGGCCGGAGCGGUGGAGCGGCGGCGGAGCGAGCGCUGCGGGGGGUGUGGCGCGGAGAAUGAUUACAGACCUGGGUCCAAAGAACAAGAUGCAGUAGCGGACAGAUUGCUGACCAGAGGCUUGAGAGCUGAGUUCUGUUUUCCCUGCUCAAACUGACUUUGCAGCCACGGAGAGGGUACAAAGUGGUAUGAUUCCGGGGUACUUGAAGCCACAAGAUAAACAUGACUCAUCUUCUUGGAGCUUCAGUUGUGCUCACUGAGGGGGCGGUGAGUUAAGUAAUUUAACAGGAAGUCCCAUGAACAGAGGAUCCUGGUGGGCUACAGUCCAUAGGGUUGCUAAAGAGUCGGACACAACUUAGC
ensembl:lncRNA